CGGAGGCAAAUUGAAAACAGGCCCAUUGUCAUCAUUUGUUAACGAGUAAAAGAUGAUCUGGUCUGUUCCUCAACUCUCAAAGUAAACAGAAAAGUGAUGAGUAUAUGCUAAGUAUUUUAAGUCAACAAUAUAAAAUUGACAGGAGAAGCUGAGUUAUUCUGUCAGUAAAUCUCUGACAGAAGAACGGAGGCCAAGCCUCAGGACUGGAUGUUUGAAGGUGUCCACUGAAGACCAAUUUUGGAAAGAAUUAUCAGGGAGAGGAAGAAACUAAGAAAGGAAAUGUAACUAGAGUUAUGGAUCUUAAAAUUCCUAUAGAAUAUUUUAUGAAAUGUAAAUAUAUUUGGAUACAUUUGAUAACUUUAAUUUAAAGUAUAAAUUAUAAAGUUUAGCCCA